UCAGGUAGCAACAGAGGCUGAUUCUGGCUCAGAUUGAACGCUGGCGUGAUGCUUUUACACAUGCAAGUCGAACGGCAGCACGGACUUCGGUCUGCGGCAAGGGCGAACGGAAGAGUAAUGUAUCGGAACGUGCCUAGUAGCGGGGAUAACUACGCGAAAGCGUAGCUAAUACCGCAUAUCGCUGCCCUUCGGGAAAGCGGGGACCUCUGGCCUCGCACUAUUAGAGCGGCCGAUGUCGGAUUAGCUAGCUGGUGGGUAACGGCUCACCAAGGCGACGAUCCGUAGCUGUCGGAGAGGACGACCAGCCACUGCUGGGACUGAGACACGGCCCAGACUCCUACGGGAGGCAGCAGUGGGGAAUUUUGGACAAUGGGGGAAACCCUGAUCCAGCCAAUUCCGGGCGUGGUGCGCGAUGAAGGCCUUCUGGCCAGCACUUUGGGCAGGAAAGAAACGGCACGGGAUAAUACCCCGCAACUGACGGUACCUGCAGAAUAAGCACCGGCUAACUACACGUGCCAGCAGCCGCGGUAAUGGCCGUAGGUGCAAGCGUUAAUCGGAAUUACUGGGCGUGAAGCGUGCAGGCGGUUCGGAAAGAAAGAUGUGAAAUCCCAGAGCUUAACUUCGGAACUGGUGAGCUUUAACUACCGAGCUAGAGUGUGUCAGAGGGAGGUGGAAUUCCGCGUGUAGCAGUGAAAUGCGUAGAUAUGCGGAGGAACACCGAUGGCGAAGGCGGCCUCCUGGGAUAACACUGACGUCAUGCACGAAAGCGUGGGGAGCAAACAGGAUUAGAUACCCUUGUAGUCCACGCCUGAAACGAUGUCAACUAGCUGUUGGGCCUUUCGCCUUGGUAGCGCAGCCAACGUGUGAAGUUGACCGCCUGGGGAGUACGGUCGCAAGAUUAAAACCAAAGGAAUUGACGGGGACCUGCACAAGCGGUGGAUGAUGUGGAUUAAUUGGAUGCAACGCGAAAAACCUUACCACUUUGACAUUGUCUGGAAUCCUGAAGAGAUUUGGGGAGUGCUCGCAAGAGAACCGGGAACACAGGUGCUGCAUGGUUGUCGUCAGCUCGUGUCGUGAGAUGUUGGGUUAAGUCCCGCAACGAGCGCAACCCGUCAUUAGUUGGGUUACGUAGAAAGGCACUCUAAUGAGACUGCCGGUGACAAAACUGGAGGAAGGUGGGAUGACGUCAAGUCCUUGUUCUGGCGGGGUAGCGGGCUUCACACGUCAUACAAUGGUCGGGAGACAGAGGGUCGCCAACCCGCGAGGGGGGAGCCAAUCCCAGAAACCUGACGUAGCCGGAUCGUGCAGUCUGCACCUGACUGCGUGUGAAGUCGGAAUCGCUAGUAAUCGCGGAUCAGCAUGUCGCGGUGAAUAUUGUUCCCGGUCUUGCAUGACACCGCCCGUCACACCAUGGGAGUGGGUUUUACCAGAAGUAGUUAGCCUAACCGUAAGGAGGGCGAUCAUUACCACGGUAGGAUUCAAGACUGGGGUGAAGUCGUAAUAAGGUAGC
rnacentral:rRNA from 1 species